rnacentral:rRNA from 1 species
UACGUAGGGGGCAAGCGUUGUCCGGAAUCAUUGGGCGUAAAGGGCGCGCAGGCGGCUCGGAAAGUCGGGUGUGAAAACUCGGGGCUCAACCCCGGGCGUGCAUCCGAUACUGCCGGGCUUGAGGCAGGUAGGGGAGAUCGGAAUUCCUGGUGUAGCGGUGAAAUGCGCAGAUAUCAGGAGGAACACCGGUGGCGAAGGCGGAUCUCUGGGCCUGUCCUGACGCUGAGGCGCGAAAGCUAGGGGAGCGAACAGG